rnacentral:lncRNA from 1 species
CACAUAAUGAAUGCUGUUCUAUUGACAGGGACCAUACUGGGACACUUAACCUACUUGUGCUUCCAAGUGAGAUCAUUGUGGUUCUUUUUUCCAACCUGAAAAAUCCUUGAAGCCCUUGAAGCCAUGCCUAGUGAUACCUGUGCAUGAUCCGACCCAUACCUAACAAAAGGAUUCAGGACUCAGAAGGUCCUUGGAGAAGAUAAUGACACUGCAUUACCAAAAUGCAAGGAUAUAAAAAUAAAUUCAUUAAUACAGUGGUUCUGGAAUUUGCGUAUCAGCACUGAUACACCACCUGGUAUCAGCACUGUGGAGACACGGAGCCAAUCUGAGUUCACUACAAAGCAGUACAGAGAGUGACCCAAAGAAUCUCCUGACAACCAGGGAAUUUCAGAGGAUGAUGGAAGUUUCCCUAAGGAUGUCACUUCAAGCUAACAAUG